rnacentral:rRNA from 1 species
ACGCACGCUGGCGGCGUGCUUAACACAUGCAAGUCGAACGGUGAAGGGGUCUGCUUUUGUGGGCCCUGGAUGAGUGGCGAACGGGUGAGUAACACGUGAGUAACCUGCCCCCUUCUUCUGGAUAACCGCAUGAAAGUGUGGCUAAUACGGGAUAUUCUGGGUCUGUCGCAUGAUGGGUCUGGGAAAGAUUGCGCCUUUGGGUGUUUUUGUUGGGGGAUGGGCUCGCGGCCUAUCAGCUUGUUGGUGGGGUGAUGGCCUACCAAGGCGGUGACGGGUAGCCGGCGUGAGAGGGUGGACGGUCACACUGGGACUGAGACACGGCCCAGACUCCUACGGGAGGCAGCAGUGGGGAAUAUUGCACCAUGGGCGCAAGCCUGAUGCAGCGACGCCGCGUGAGGGAUGGAGGCCUUCGGGUUGUAAACCUCUUUCGCCAGUGAAGCAGGCCUGCUACUUGUGGGUGGGUUGACGGUAGCUGGAUAAGAAGCGCCGGCUAACUACGUG